GAAUCCAUAUGUUUUGUUGAAUUGUUGUUUUACGAUCCAGAUUUUCCACCAUCGGAAGUCGUGAUGACGCCUACUAAUUAAAGCCGGGUAAGCCAAUCAUUUAAUCAUUUUUUUAAGCAAUGUCAAAAAUAUAAGGGAAAAUGAGAUAUGCGAUAUAAAAGCGGAAGUCUGAAAAUAUAAAUGACUAAACAAGUACGGAAGUUUAAGUUCAACUCUACCCCGAUCCGGUGUCACUAACUCACGAACAUCUAAUGAGUGCUAAAUACAGUGUCUGAAUAGAAGAACAAAUAUUUGUUCCGGUACGAGGAAAAACAAACUAAAUAACAUAGAAAGGGGUUCCGGCCUGCGGAUGUCGGCAAGGCUACCUCGAAAGUACCUGGACUGAAGUCAGCUCCCGGUCAAUCCUACUGCUGAGGUCGAAAAGCUGCUCCUGGAUCUGUACAAAAAGAUGCACAAAGUGUAGCAUCAUCACAACCAACCACGUGUGCUAGUAAGUGUCUGGCCUAACCCCGACGAAGUAGUGAUGAGGCUAGACAGGACUACCAAUCAACCUGUGCAGAUAUAUAAAUAUACAAGUACACAAAAUAACAACGGAAAAUAAUAAUUAUGACUGGAAAGGGAACAUGCUUCUGGGGGUAACAGAUAAAAUAGAACAGCAGGAAUAAAUAAGGUAAACUACAACUAAUUCCAUCUAGCACAUUAUACGUUUUCGGCGUGCCAAACGAUUCCAUUCCAUGAUAUAUAAGUGAUCGGCGUGCCACACGAUCCCAUUUCUUAAUAUAUAAGUGGUCGGCGUGCCAAAUUAUCCCAUUUCAUAAUAUAUAAGUGGUCGGCAUGCUAUAAGAUUCCAGUUCAUAAUGUAUAAUAGUUUUUCGGCAAGGGAACAAGUAUCAAUUCAACUAUCCCGACAAGGGAGAAUACAAAUAAGCAGUUAAUUUCCGGCAAGGGAGCAACAACAAUAGCUUACACAUCCCGGCAAGGGAAUAAUUACAUCUAUUUCUCUUUCGUUCAUUUCUUACUUUCUAAUCAAGCCAAAAAUUGAACCAACGCUCCAAGGAGUUUACCAAUUAUAUAUCCUUCUCAUACUAUUCAUAUCAUAUAGAAACCAUCAAUUAACAUGGAAGAGUCACCACAGAAUCCCAAAUAAGCACAAAUAAGGACCCACAGUCAUGCUAGACACCGGUGUAUAGAUACUCGUCAUAUGCCUAUACACCUUACUCAACAAUUAGCAAUUAACAAUUUAUACUCUAAUCCUAUUCCCUCAGGCCAAAGUUAGAUCAAAUACUUACCUCGAAUGCUCCACUCAAGCCUCAGUAUAGCCUUACCCCUCGAAUUCGGCUCCAACUCAGUCAAAUUUAUGAAAUAAUGCAAUAUUAAUAGUAGCUAACAAACUAAAUCCAAUGCCUAAAUAUGAAUUUCUAAGCUUUCUUCCCAAAAUUUCAAAAAUCGACCCCGGGCCCGCUUGGUCAAAACCCGAGAUUCGAACCAAUUCCAUGUCACUCAUUCCCCCACGAGCCCGAAUAUACAAUUUAUUUUCACAUUUGACCCCAAAACGAGGUCUAAAUAAAAAAAAUCAAAAAGCCCUAAUUUUACCCAUUUUCUCCAAUUCUUACGAUAAACUAUAUGAUUUAGGUCUAGGAAUUUGAUAAAUGAUGAUAGAAAAUGAAGAAAACGAGUUAGAGAAUACUUACCCAAGAAGCUUUGGUGCUCUAAAAGUUGCUUAGGGGCUGUGGAGAAGAAGAGCUCGGGUGAAAUUUGGAGUGAAGGUAUCUACUGUCACACCCCCUUUUUCACUACACCCUCAAGGGCAUAAAUGAGUUUUUCCACUUAAAGGACAAUCGAAACGGAAUUUUAUUAUUUGGAAUCAGAGUCGCCACUUGAGAGAUUAAUGGUGACCCAAGUUACCGGUUGAAUUCCGAAUCGAGGAAAAUAUGACUCUGUUAACAGUCCGCGAACCAAAAAUCCGAGUAAGGAAUUCUGUUAACCUGGAAGAAGGUGUUAGGCAUUCCUGGGUUCCGUGGUUCUAGCACGGUCGUUCAACUGUCAUAUUUGGAUGUAUCUGAUUUCAAAACAUGCUUUAGCUUAUGUACUUUUAUAAUUUUAAACCGCUUUUAUUAUUAUUUUUUAACAAGAAUUGCAACGUCGUGAAAAUGUGUCUCGUACCACGUCACAUCAAUGCACCCGUGGUUGUUGACAUAUUUCGACUUCGUUGUGAUUUGGAUUUGGGUCACAUAAAUGCGCACCCGAAUUUAGGAAGGUAAAUCAUUAAAAAACGUACCUAAAGAGACUAUCGCGUUAUUAUACUUGGGGAAGGCCGUGAAAUUCACUAAACGGCCCAUCCCGAAGUCUAAAUAUUUUUAGUAUAAACAUUUAUCGAGGGCCCUGCCAUUUAUUUAUUUUGUUUAGCGAGGCUCAUCUCGUUUUAUUAAUAAAAGACAAACUUAAAGCAAUCUAUAAUUUUCUAUUUUAAUUUGUCUUUAAAAAUAAAAGAAAAAGUACUAAUUAAUCAUUGUCUAAAAUUAUCACGAAUUUUGACCCUUAACCAGAUCGGGCCUUGAACAUAACUUAUUUAGAGAAAUCGUUAUACCCAUAUGCAUAAAGACAAAACAGAACAAGCUUGGCCCAGGUCCAAGCGUGAAAGAAAUUAGAAUCGGACCUGGGCCUUCGUAUCAAAGCCUGAAUCCCAGACAUCUUGAGAAUAGGCUGUUGGGCCUUAGUCUUUUAAACUAAAUUUAAUUGCAACAACCAGCAAAUGAUGUUUUCUAUCUAACUUCAAAUAUUAUUCGAACUAACAGCUUUAAUUUCACAAUUACACUUUCCUUUUCUUUAAAUCGAUGCAGUACUUCUUUAACUAGCAAUUAGUGUAAGAAUUAACACUCAGAACUGGUCGACCAUAAUCCAGAUAAUCACAUUACGGUCCAGAUUAGUUUAACAAUCUAAUAAGCUCAUUUUGAAUUAUGGAAAUCAAACAGUGGGUGAUAAUUUGCAAAUUAUCAUAAGCUAUAGCCAAUAUCCACUACACAGCCCAGUUCAAGUUGGAUAUGAGUUUAAACUACACUAUUCUAAUAACAUGAACUAACAAAGAUAAAAACUACUAACUAUGAAACUCACACAUGAAUGCAUCUAAUGGUUUAACAGUCCAAAGCAUCACUUAUACAGUCCAUGCUUACCUAUUGUUCUUAUAAUGCAAAACAAGUGACUAAGCAUCAACUACAUUCACUAACAACUCGAAUUAUAAACAAUAGACAACAUCCAAAUGAGCUCAAAUCUGGUGAGCAAUUUCAAAUUUGACUUCAACUCAAAGUUACAUCGAAGUAAUUCACAGAAGUGUACCUGGAAGUGGAAAACAAUGAAGAAGAAGAGAAGAUCAACAACGAGUAACAAACAACUAGUACCCAGUAGUCAUAAACAGCAACCUAAACACAGUUGAUCUCAGCCCAGAAAUAACCCAAUGAUCCCAAAAGUAUUUUUAAACCAAACGAAACUGAAUAUCAGCUUCUAAACAACACCAAAUGGUCCAGAAAUGAACACAGGAGGUCAAUACUCAAGAACCACAGUUGGCUCAAAUUAGCCAAAUCCAAUACCUAGAAGACUCGAACUGCUUUAAAAUACCAAAUAUCGAACAGAAUAAGGAAAUUCAAAUAGCUUUUAUCCUAAACGAGCUAGAAACUAGAAGUAAAUGAUGGAAUCUAAUGUAACAGUCCUUUUUUUUUUGCUAUAUUUUCUUUUGUUUUUGGUGUUUUCUUUUGAAAAUGCUAAGAUCCGAGGAGAUUUUGAUAUGAAAUUUUGAAUUUUAGAUCUGUUCAGCUUGAAGAUAUUUUGGGAGGAAUUUGAGGGUUGAAAAUUUGUGAAUAAAGUAAAGGUCAUGCCCUCUUGUAGGUACAAAUGAGGCCUAUCAGAUUUUCAGUUUUUCCUUUUAGUCCUUAUUCACUUUCAGCUUUACUCCCCUAUUUAUUAACUUGUUACACAAGUUAGCACCCACAACUUCUUAAAAUUAAAAUUAAGUUCCUAUUCUAGCAUAUUCUAGGGUGUUCUAAUCAGUUACUACAAUAUUUUUAUUGUUAAAAAUGCCUAAACUACCUCUUAUCUAUCUGAAAUUACUCAAACUGUCCCCAUCCACUUCAACUCAAUUAAUAAAUUUCAAUAGCUCUAAGAUUAAAUCCCAAAUGAAAUUAUUCUGAAAAUUACCUUAAUUCACACUACUUGUUAAUUAUCCAUCAAUUAACAACCGACUAAAUCAUUUUUAACCUAAACUAAACUAUACAGUCAAAGAACAAGAAUGGACAUUUAGACUAAAUAAUCCGCGGACAUUAACAGAAUUAAUCACAACUAAGAACAUACUCACAUUAACAAAACUAAACAAAAUAACAACAUCAAUCAGUCAUGAAAGUUAAUCUCAGGAGAAAAGAAAUUACUGAAUUAGGAUGAACAAAUAGCCGACUGAUAACACAAAAAAUUAUAAGUGAAAAAUAAAACAAAGGAGUUCAAAUAAAUGAAUAAGAGGGUAAACUUGUAAGAACAAAAUAAAAAUAAGAAAAACUCACUGGAAAAUUUCAGAUUCAAAAUUCGGCUGAUUCCGAUGAGGUUCGAGGGCCAAUAGUAUUGAAUUCAUCAUGAGGGAAGCGGGGAAGCCCUGUGGUAUUAAUUUGGUAAGAAUUGGAGAAAUUACGAUUUUGGCCGGAAAGUUUAAAAUUAAUAUUCGAACGGUUCCGGCCAUAUUCAAGGGGUGAUUACUAGGUCAUUGGAAAGAGGGAACGAAGGAGAUUCACCGGUGUAAUUUAGGGUGAUUUAGAUGAGGUUGUGUCAUGGCCGGGAAAACUUCGAUCUAAUAUUCAAAGCUUUCGGGUAGGAUUCGAGGGAAGUGGGUGAUGGAUGCGAAUAGAGGAAGAGAAUAGGCGUACAUGAUGUUAAUUUGGGUUAAUUUGGCGACGGGCCGCCGUCGUGGGCAAUUUCUGGCGGCGGUCAAUGAUGGUGUUACCCGGGGAUGUAAAUGGGUGUGUUUGGGACGAUGAAAUGGGGUGAGGAGGUAUAAUCCGACCAUUAAAUACUCUUAAG
rnacentral:lncRNA from 1 species